AAUAUAAGCUAAUAAAAAUUAUCUAAAUUGAAGUGGAGAGAGGAAAAAAUGGUUGAAAAAAAUGAACAGAGCAUUAGCAAAUUGUGGGAUAAUAGUAAGCAGUCUAACAUACAUGCAAUUAGAGUUCCAUAAGGAAAAAAACAAUAAGGCAGAAAAAUAUUUAAAGAAACAGUGGCUUAAAAGUUGAUGAAAAAUAACAAUCCACAGGUCCAAAAAGUUCAACUAACCCCAAGCAGGAUAAACUUUUUAAAAAUCAUACUUGGGGCCAGGCGCAGUGGCUUAUGCCUGUAAUCCCAGCACUUUGGGAGACCAAGGCAGGCAGCUCAUUUGAGGUCAGGAAUUCAAAACCAGCCUGGACAAUUUGGUGAAACCCAGUCUCUACUAAAAAUAUAAAAUUAGCCAGAGCUGGACGUGGUGGCUCACACCUGUAAUCCCAGCACUUUGGGAGGCUGAAGUGGGCAGAUCACCUGAGGUCAGGAGUUUGAGACUAGCAUGGCCAACAUGGUGAAACCCUGUCUCUACUAAAAAUACAAAAAUUAACCAGGAGUGGUGGUGGGUGCCUGUAAUCUCAGUUACUGGGGAGGCUAAGGCAGGAGAAUCAUUUGAACCCAGGAGGCAGAGGUUUCAGUGAGCCGAAAUCACACCAUUGCACUCCAGCCUGGGCGACUGAGUGAGACUCUGUCUCAAAAAAAAAAAAAACGAAAAAAGAAAAAAAAUCACACUUGGUACAUCAGAGUAAAAUUGCUGAAAACCAAAACUAAAGAGAAAAUCUUAAAAGCAGCCAUAGGGGGAAAAGACACAUUACAUGCGCAGGAGAAUCGCUUGAAACCGGAAGGCAGGGUUGCAGUGAGCCGAGAUUACGCCAUUGCACUCCAGCCUGGGCAACAGAGUGAAAUUCUAUCUCAAAGAAAAAUAAAAUAAAAUAAAUAAAUUAGAAUGUAGUUGUACAAUGGAAUAUUAUACAGCAGUGAAAAUGAGUAAACUAAAGCUAUAUGCAUUAACAUGGAUGAACUUUACAAAUUUGUUGAGUCAAAAAAGAAAAUUGUAGAAGAAUAUACACAGCAUGAUGUUAUUCAUAUAGUUAAAAUGCAAUGCAUAUAGAGUGUAUAAUAUAGUAAAAAAAAAACAUAUGCAUGGGAAUAAUUAACUCCAAGUUCAGAAUAACGUUUCCUCUGGGGGGAGAGAAAGGAAUGCAAUAGAGGAGGAGCUUAAACUAUAUUUGUAAUGCUUUAUUUCUUUUUUUUUUUUUUUGAGACGGAGUCUCGCUCUGUCGCCCAGGCUGGAUGGAGUGCAGUGGCACGAUCUCAGCUCACGGCAAGCUCCACCUCCCAGGUUCAUGGCAUUCUCCUGCCUCAGCCUCUGGAGUAGCUGGGACUACAGGUGCCUGCCACA
rnacentral:lncRNA from 1 species